GACGAACGCUGGCGGUGCGCCUAACACAUGCAAGUCGAACGAGCGAGAGAGAGCUUGCUUUCUCGAGCGAGUGGCGAACGGGUGAGUAACGCGUGAGGAACCUGCCUCAAAGAGGGGGACAACAGUUGGAAACGACUGCUAAUACCGCAUAAGCCCACAGCUCGGCAUCGAGCAGAGGGAAAAGGAGUGAUCCGCUUUGAGAUGGCCUCGCGUCCGAUUAGCUGGUUGGUGAGGUAACGGCCCACCAAGGCGACGAUCGGUAGCCGGACUGAGAGGUUGAACGGCCACAUUGGGACUGAGACACGGCCCAGACUCCUACGGGAGGCAGCAGUGGGGAAUAUUGCACAAUGGGGGAAACCCUGAUGCAGCGACGCCGCGUGGAGGAAGAAGGUCUUCGGAUUGUAAACUCCUGUUGUUGAGGAAGAUAAUGACGGUACUCAACAAGGAAGUGACGGCUAACUACGUGCCAGCAGCCGCGGUAAAACGUAGGUCACAAGCGUUGUCCGGAAUUACUGGGUGUAAAGGGAGCGCAGGCGGGAAAGCAAGUUGGAAGUGAAAUCCAUGGGCUCAACCCAUGAACUGCUUUCAAAACUGUUUUUCUUGAGUAGUGCAGAGGUAGGCGGAAUUCCCGGUGUAGCGGUGGAAUGCGUAGAUAUCGGGAGGAACACCAGUGGCGAAGGCGGCCUACUGGGCACCAACUGACGCUGAGGCUCGAAAGUGUGGGUAGCAAACAGG
rnacentral:rRNA from 1 species